UACGAAGGGGGCUAGCGUUGCUCGGAAUGACUGGGCGUAAAGGGCGCGUAGGCGGAUGGCACAGUCAGAUGUGAAAUUCCUGGGCUUAACCUGGGGGCUGUAUUUGAGACGUGUGAUCUGGAGUGAGGAAGAGGGUUGUGGAAUUCCCAGUGUAGAGGUGAAAUUCGUAGAUAUUGGGAAGAACACCGGUGGCGAAGGCGGCGACCUGGUCCUUAACUGACGCUGAGGCGCGAAAGCGUGGGGAGCAAACAGG
rnacentral:rRNA from 1 species